UGGCGGCGCGCUUACACAUGCAAGUCGCACGAGAAAGUGGAGCAAUCCAUGAGUAAAGUGGCGUACGGGUGAGUAACACGUGGAUCAUCUACCUCUUAGUGGGGAAUAACUCUGGGAAACCGGAGCUAAUACCGCAUGGGCCUGAAAAGGGAAAGCAGCAAUGCGCUGAGAGAGGAGUCCGCGGCCGAUUAGCUAGUUGGUAGGGUAACGGCCUACCAAGGCAAUGAUCGGUAGCCGGCCUGAGAGGGCACACGGCCACACUGGCACUGAAACACGGGCCAGACUCCUACGGGAGGCAGCAGUGGGGAAUCUUGCACAAUGGAGGAAACUCUGAUGCAGCGACGCCGCGUGAGCGAUGAAGCCCUUCGGGGUGUAAAGCUCUUUCGACAGGAACGAUUAUGACGGUACCUGGAGAAGAAGCUGCGGCUAACUACGUGCCAGCAGCCGCGGUAAUACGUAGGCAGCAAGCGUUGUUCGGAAUUACUGGGCGUAAAGAGUGUGUAGGCGGUUCUCUAUGUUCGGUGUGAAAUCUCCCGGCUUAACUGGGAGGGUGCGCCGAAAACUGGAGGGCUUGAGUAUGGGAGAGGAAAGCGGAAUUCCUGGUGUAGCGGUGAAAUGCGU
rnacentral:rRNA from 1 species